AUUGAACGCUGGCGGCAGGCCUAACACAUGCAAGUCGAACGAGUGGCGGACGGGUGAGGACUGUCUGGGAAACUGCCGGAUGGAGGGGGAUAACUACUGGAAAAGGUUGCUAAUCCCGCAUACCAUCCGAUUUGCCCAGAUGGGGUUGGCUGGUGGGUGGGGUAACGGCUCACCUGGGCGACGAUCCCUAGCUGGUCUGCGAGGGUGAUCAGCCACACUGGAACUGAGACACGGUCCAGACUCCUACGGGAGGCAGCAGUGGGGAAUCUUGGGCAAUGGGCGCAAGCCUGACGCAGCCAUGCCGCGUGUGUGAAGAAGGUCUUCGGGUUGUAAAGUACUUUCAGCGGGGAGGCGUUACCCGCAGAAGAAGCACCGGCUAACUCCGUGCCAGCAGCCGCGGUAAUAC
rnacentral:rRNA from 1 species